rnacentral:tRNA from 1 species
GGGGUUAUAGCUCAGUGGCAGAGUGCAUACCCAGCAUGUGUGAGAUCCUGGGUUCAAUCUCCAGUACCUCUG